AGGAAGGUAGCUCAGUUGGUUAGAGCCUUCGGCUGAUACCCGAAAGAUCGGCGGUUCAAAUCCGUCCCUUCCUACCA
rnacentral:tRNA from 1 species